CAAAUACUCCCUCCAUUCGAAAAUAUUUGUCAUAAGAAUAGAUAUAUCUAGAUGUAUUUUAGUUUUAGAUACACCCAUUUUUAUCAAGUUGUGCAACAAGUAAUUCCGGACGGAGGAGUAUAUC
rnacentral:pre_miRNA from 1 species